AUUUUUUUCUAACGCUCGUAAAUAACCUACAGCUAUUUUUGUGGUUAAUUUUUAGCAACAUCAUCAUUAUUAUUGAUAUUCUUUCAGCCAUAAUGAAGCAGCACACAUGUUUAUCGUGUGUUUGGUAGCUCUAACAACGUGCUUUCUCAAGAGAUAUUGCUCUCGUCUUGACUUCAAGAUUGUUUCAUCUUUAUCUUUUGUUGGAUAUAUCUCCCAACUGCUGCUAGUGCUUUCUCAUCGAGUUCUUGCUCUCUUGAUUUCAAGAUUGGUUAAUGCUGAAUCCAAAACUUCACAUUGCUUUCUUGAAUCACAUGUAAACAACUCAUGUGAAAAACCUAACAUAUGCUGCUGUCAACAGCCAGUGAUUUAUCGCUGUAAGGAUUUUCUCUGAUGCAUGAUUCUUUAGCGCUGAUUAAAUAGAUGCUCGGCAAUCAGCAAUGAGAAGAAAACAGAGAACCAUUGUCAGUGAGAGACAACUACGCAACAGAAUCAGGGAAGAUGCCGCUCACCUUGAAGCG